GACGAACGCUGGCGGCGUGCUUAACACAUGCAAGUCGAGCGGUAAGGCCCUUCGGGUACGACGAGCGGCGAACGGGUGAGUAACACGUGGGUGACCUGCCUCUAGCUCUGGGAUAAGCCUGGGAAACUGGGUCUAAUACCGGAUAUGACUCCACGGCGCAUGUUGUGGGGUGGAAAGCCUUGUGUGGCUAGAGAUGGGCCCGCGGCCUAUCAGCUUGUUGGUGGGGUGAUGGCCUACCAAGGCGACGACGGGUAGCCGGCCUGAGAGGGCGACCGGCCACACUGGGACUGAGACACGGCCCAGACUCCUACGGGAGGCAGCAGUGGGGAAUCUUGCGCAAUGGGCGAAAGCCUGACGCAGCGACGCCGCGUGAGGGAUGACGGCCU
rnacentral:rRNA from 1 species